rnacentral:rRNA from 1 species
ACUCCUACGGGAGGCAGCAGUAGGAAGUCUUCCACAAUGGGCGCAAGCCUGAUGGAGCAACACCGCGUGAGUGAAGAAGGGUUUCGGCUCGUAAAGCUCUGUUGUUAAAGAAGAACACGUAUGAGAGUAACUGUUCAUACGUUGACGGUAUUUAACCAGAAAGUCACGGCUAACUACGUGCCAGCAGCCGCGGUAAUACGUAGGUGGCAAGCGUUAUCCGGAUUUAUUGGGCGUAAAGAGAGUGCAGGCGGUUUUCUAAGUCUGAUGUGAAAGCCUUCGGCUUAACCGGAGAAGUGCAUCGGAAACUGGAUAACUUGAGUGCAGAAGAGGGUAGUGGAACUCCAUGUGUAGCGGUGGAAUGCGUAGAUAUAUGGAAGAACACCAGUGGCGAAGGCGGCUACCUGGUCUGCAACUGACGCUGAGACUCGAAAGCAUGGGUAGCGAACAGGAUUAGAUACCCCUGGUAGGAUAGCG